rnacentral:rRNA from 1 species
UACGUAGGGGGCAAGCGUUAUCCGGAUUUACUGGGUGUAAAGGGAGCGUAGACGGUUUGGCAAGUCAGAUGUGAAAGCCCGGGGCUCAACCCCGGGACUGCAUUUGAAACUGCGAGACUAGAGUGCAGGAGAGGUAAGUGGAAUUCCAUGUGUAGCGGUGAAAUGCGUAGAUAUAUGGAGGAACACCAGUGGCGAAGGCGACUUUCUGGUCUAUUAUUGACGCUGAGGCUCGAAAGCAUGGGUAGCAAACAGGAUUAGAUACCGU